GUGACCAAAUCGUGAUACAGUGAUGACCCAGCUGCUGCUCUUCUGGGCCCUCCAAGGCCGACAGCAAAGACCAGACACACAUCCAGACAUCCACGAUGCAACGUCUACAAUCAGCUCCACGGCUGGUCACGCAGCAUCCCGCUGCCCUGCAGAGGCCCUGCUCCUUGGACCCUGGCUCUGGGCAGCUGCCUCCUCUGGGUCAUCACACUCUUUCCCAAACCCUCUUGCAGCUGAAAAUCUUGGUCAUCUGUGUGGCUAGACAGGUGACACUGGUUCUCCACCCAGAGUCUGUGGGUCCCACGAUUUUCCACCCCACGACAAGGCCUUCCCCUGCACCCGAACCAGGAUUUCCAUGGGCCCUCAUUACAAGUUUCAAUGUGGCCAGUGUCAGAGCCCAGGGAAGCUUUGAAUCCACGGCUCCCACUGAAAUCACCGGAGUCCCACCCCUAGGGACUGCUGCCAUCCGUCCAAGGGGUAGCCAGAGCUUCCAGGCGAUUCAAAUGUGCAGCCAGGGCUGCCAGUCACUGCUCCAGAGGACUGGCCUGGUUCCCUGCCCCGAUCCCUACAGGUGCUCCAUGCCCAUGAGCCUCUUUCCUGCAUCCUGCUCGCCUAGGCAAAUCCCCAGCUGGUGCAUCCUCCACUGAGGUGAGGCGCCUCUGCAGCCUGAUCAGCCUCGAGACUGACCAGACAGUGCUCCCCUAACCCUCAGGGUAGGCUGGGAUCCAGGCUGCCCCACAUGCCUGAAGCAUGGAGCACAUAACCAGGACCACCCGCUUCCAGGGGCCCUGGGGCUGCUUCUAAGGCCAGAAAAGCCCUGCAGCUCAGAUUCAUUUAAUCAAGGCUGCGCUGGACUGGCUUCCCUCCCCUGCUCCUCCCCAUCCUUCCUCCUUUAGGACUAGGACUUGGAAUGCAUUUUUAUUAGACUUUUCCUAGGUGAAAAUAGUGCUGGGCUGGGGGUGGGGAAACUGGAUGGAGUGUGAUUUACACUUACCCUGAGUCCUCACACCUCCCAAGGGCAGCCGGAAUCAGCAGCCUGCUCACAGAGCUGCUGGCAGAUGGGGAGCCCUGCAAAGUCUGGGCUCAGAUCUGCCCCAGUGGGAACCACAUCUCUGCACAAGGGCCCAAAACCUCACAAAAGCCAAAGACCCUUUGCAAAACAAACAGGGGAAAGCUGGGUGUCAGUGUCUAUAGGGUUCAGGCAAAGACACCACUCAGAGAAACAGCCCGAACCCCUUACACAUCAGAUCAGACUGUCCCUAUUAUGUUUUCUCUUUGCUCCAAGCAGCACAUCUCUCUCUCUUUUUUUUUUUUAAGUCAAUUGCAUUUCUUGCUUUCGUUCUUUAUUUUGUUACAACUUUGCACAGGUCUUAGCUGUGGGACACGAGGUCUUCGUUGCAUCACACGGAAUCUUCCCUUGUGGCACAGGGACUCUCCAGCUGUGCCACUCCAGCUCCCUAGUGUGCGUGCUCAGUAGUUGCAGCCCACCGGCUUAGUCGAUCCUCAGACUGUGGGAUCUUAGUUUCUCGACCAGGGAUCGAACCCACGUCCCCCGCCUUCCCUCAGUCAUUUCACUCCUUCUAUGUCUGUGCACUGUGGUGUUAAUCCUCUAGGGAGGAGGCAGAUUUUAAAAGCCUGUUGGGCAUUUAUUUACAACCUUGAUAAGGGUUAAGGAGGGGCUGACCCAACCCAGAGGGUCAGCAAAGGGACAGCCUAGUUGCUCUCUGAUGGGUGUGCAAGGGGUAAAACCAUGAAGGUGAGGGACGCUAGUGCCCAGAAAGCAGGUGUGUGCCUCGUGAAGAAGAAAAGAGCAUGGCUUGUCCUAGAAACCAAGAGAAGAGGCAAGGUGGGGUGAGGGGGGGGAAUGCGGGGCAGGAAUAGAGAUGGCAGAUGAGUGGGNNNNNNNNNNNNNNNNNNNNNNNNNNNNNNNNNNNNNNNNNNNNNNNNNNNNNNNNNNNNNNNNNNNNNNNNNNNNNNNNNNNNNNNNNNNNNNNNNNNGUCAAAGCUAUGGUUUUUCCAGUAGUCAGGUAUGGUUGUGAGAGUUGGACCAUAAAGAUGACUGAGCACAGAGGGACUUUCAAACUGUGGUGCUGGAGAAGACUCUAGUGAGCCCCUUGGACAGCAAAGUAAUUAAACCAGGCAAUCCUAAAGGAAAUCAGCACUAAAUAUUCAUUGGAAGGAUUGAUGCUGAAGCUGAGGCUCCAACACUCUGAUCACCUGAUGCAAAGAGCCAAUUCACUGGGAAAGACCUUGAUGCUCGGAAAGACUGAAUGCAGGAGAAGAAUGUGGUGACAGAAGUUAAGAUGAUUGGAUGGCAUCAUGAACUCAAUGGACAUGAGCUUGGGAAAACUCCAGGAGAUAGUGAGGACAGGGAAACCUAACAUGCUGCAUUCCAUGGGGUCACAAAAUGUUGGACUUGAUUGAGCAACUGAACAACAACUGAUGCUAAUAAUAGCAAUGUGCUAUUAC
ensembl:lncRNA